rnacentral:rRNA from 3 species
UUGGCCGGGCGACGGUUGUCCCGGUUUAAGCGUGUAGGUGUGUGUUCCAGGUAAAUCCGGUUCACUUUAACACUGAGGCGUGACGACGAGGCACUACGGUGCUGAAGCAACAAAUGCCCUGCUUCCAGGAAAAGCCUCUAAGCAUCAGGUAACAUCAAAUCGUACCCCAAACCGACACAGGUGGUCAGGUAGAGAAUACCAAGGCGCUUGAGAGAACUCGGGUGAAGGAACUAGGCAAAAUGGUGCCGUAACUUCGGGAGAAGGCACGCUGACACGUAGGUGAAGUGAUUUACUCAUGGAGCUGAAGUCAGUCGAAGAUACCAGCUGGCUGCAACUGUUUAUUAAAAACACAGCACUGUGCAAACACGAAAGUGGACGUAUACGGUGUGACGCCUGCCCGGUGCCGGAAGGUUAAUUGAUGGGGUCAGCGCAAGCGAAGCUCCUGAUCGAAGCCCCGGUAAACGGCGGCCGUAACUAUAACGGUCCUAAGGUAGCGAAAUUCCUUGUCGGGUAAGUUCCGACCUGCACGAAUGGCGUAAUGAUGGCCAGGCUGUCUCCACCCGAGACUCAGUGAAAUUGAACUCGCUGUGAAGAUGCAGUGUACCCGCGGCAAGACGGAAAGACCCCGUGAACCUUUACUAUAGCUUGACACUGAACAUUGAGCCUUGAUGUGUAGGAUAGGUGGGAGGCUUUGAAGUGUGGACGCCAGUCUGCAUGGAGCCGACCUUGAAAUACCACCCUUUAAUGUUUGAUGUUCUAACGUGGACCCGUUACCCGGGUUGCGGACAGUGUCUGGUGGGUAGUUUGACUGGGGCGGUCUCCUCCUAAAGAGUAACGGAGGAGCACGAAGGUUGGCUAAUCCUGGUCGGACAUCAGGAGGUUAGUGCAAUGGCAUAAGCCAGCUUGACUGCGAGCGUGACGGCGCGAGCAGGUGCGAAAGCAGGUCAUAGUGAUCCGGUGGUUCUGAAUGGAAGGGCCAUCGCUCAACGGAUAAAAGGUACUCCGGGGAUAACAGGCUGAUACCGCCCAAGAGUUCAUAUCGACGGCGGUGUUUGGCACCUCGAUGUCGGCUCAUCACAUCCUGGGGCUGAAGUAGGUCCCAAGGGUAUGGCUGUUCGCCAUUUAAAGUGGUACGCGAGCUGGGUUUAGAACGUCGUGAGACAGUUCGGUCCCUAUCUGCCGUGGGCGCUGGAGAACUGAGGGGGGCUGCUCCUAGUACGAGAGGACCGGAGUGGACGCAUCACUGGUGUUCGGGUUGUCAUGCCAAUGGCACUGCCCGGUA